rnacentral:lncRNA from 1 species
GACAAACGCUAGUGUCUAAAGUAUGAUGUAAAAAUUCUAAGUGGGUCUAAGUACAUUCCAUCCAAUAACACCCACAAUCUUUAGGCCUUCACCAUUUCAAAAUUGCUCUAGUAUCAACUCGAAUACAGGAUCUAAAACCUUGAUACCAACUUAUAUUAGAUAUUGCAACCGCUCAUGAUAAUUAUGCAAUCCACUCAUAUCACCUAGAAUCAAGUUCAAGAAUCCACCUCACGUCAAUUCAAUCAAGAUCCACCACAUUUCAAGCAUGCUUUUGCAUCAGUUCACUUAUGAUUGCCAAACAUGUUAAAGCAAUAUCAUUUCAUUUUGAUGUGACUAGGGAGGCCUCAAUUCAAAAUGCCCUAUAGAUACACCAAUACUUUCCAAAAAGAGUAAAACAUUUUUUUGGUGCGAGUUGUGUAGAAUUUU